AUACUUUGGUUUCUCUUCAAAUCAUAUAAAUCUUUUGUCUUUUACUAAAGAUUUCCGUGGAGAGGAACAUUUAUGCUUCCUCGCAGAUGUGUUUGGCAGGGUUUAAGAGACAGGGCCU